rnacentral:rRNA from 1 species
UACGAAAGGGGCUAGCGUUGUUCGGAAUUACUGGGCGUAAAGCGCAUGUAGGCGGGCAUAUAAGUUGGGGGUGAAAUCCCGGAGCUCAACUCCGGAACUGCCUCCAAAACUACCGGCCUGGAGCAGAAGAGAGGCGAGUGGAAUUCCGAGUGUAGAGGUGAAAUUCGUAGAUAUUCGGAGGAACACCAGUGGCGAAGGCGACUCGCUGGCUUCUUGCUGACGCUGAGAUGCGAAAGCGUGGGGAGCAAACAGG